rnacentral:rRNA from 2 species
CAAAAUGACAGGUGGUGCAUGGUUGUNGUCAGCUCGUGUCGUGAGAUGUUGGGUUAAGUCCCGCAACGAGCGCAACCCUUAUGACUAGUUGCCAGCAUUUAGUUGGGCACUCUAGUAAGACUGCCGGUGACAAACCGGAGGAAGGUGGGGAUGACGUCAAAUCAUCAUGCCCCUUAUGACCUGGGCUACACACGUGCUACAAUGGAUGGUACAACGNGUUGCGAGACCGCGAGGUCAAGCUAAUCUCUUAAAGCCAUUCUCAGUUCGGACUGUAGGCUGCAACUCGCCUACACGAAGUCGGAAUCGCUAGUAAUCGCGGAUCAGCACGCCGCGGUGAAUACGUUCCCGGGCCUUGUACACACCGCCCGUCACACCAUGAGAGUUUGUAACACCCGAAGCCG